rnacentral:rRNA from 1 species
GGAAUAUUGGACAAUGGGCGCAAGCCUGAUCCAGCCAUGCCGCGUGCAGGAUGAAGCAUCUAUGGUGUGUAAACUGCUUUUAUACGGGAAGAAACCCUGGCUCGUGAGCCAGACUGACGGUACCGUAGGAAUAAGGAUCGGCUAACUCCGUGCCAGCAGCCGCGGUAAUACGGAGGAUCCAAGCGUUAUCCGGAAUCAUUGGGUUUAAAGGGUCCGUAGGCGGCCCUGUAAGUCAGUGGUGAAAUCUCCCGGCUCAACCGGGAAAUUGCCAUUGAUACUGCAGGGCUUGAAUUUCUGUGAAGUAACUAGAAUAUGUAGUGUAGCGGUGAAAUGCUUAGAUAUUACAUGGAAUACCGAUUGCGAAGGCAGGUUACUAACAGACGAUUGACGCUGAUGGACGAAAGCGUGGGUAGCGAACAGGAUUAGAUACCCGUG